CUUUCUACACUAUUUCUCCUCAGAGCAACUCCUGUUAACAUCUCUUUGAAUUACUAAUUCUUUUGUUAAAUUGUGUGUGUGUGUGUGUGUGUGUGUUUGUGUGUGUGUGUGUGUAUGUGUGUGUGUGUGUGUUUGUGUGUGUGUGUGUUUGUGUGUGUGUUUUUGUGUGUGUGUGUGUGUAUGUGUGUGUGUGUGUGUUUGUGUGUGUGUUUUGUGUGUGUGUGUGUAUGUGUGUGUGUGUGAAUGCCAUGUCUGUGCAGGUGCCUGCAGAGGCUAGAAAAGCCCGUGGAGCUAGAGUUACAGAUGGUCCUGAAUAGCAGCCGUGGAAGCUCAGAACCAGACUCUUGUCUUCUGGAAGAACAGCAAGUGUUCUAACUUGUGGGUCAUCCCUCCAGCUCCAGAAUUGUUGAUUCUUUCUUCUUGGUAAAGCCUGCUAUUGAAUCCCUUUCAUGAAAAUUUCAGCCCCUCAGGUGUCAAAAUUGUUCUAUCUGCUCCAUGUCAAACAAGAUUGGGACUGGCUCCUCCUACAGUGCACUGAAAGACCAGGGGCAUUGAAUAUGCGGUCUCCUCUCCUCUCUGCUUUUGAGUGAGAAGCUGUAGACUUGGGCAGAAACCCUUGCAGCUUGGGGAAGGGGACGGCAUCAGUGAAGUGAGACUUCUCCUGUCCCUGAUCUCAGUGAAGCUGUCCUCCACUUUGUCUUUUCGUCGAGUAUGCUUUACCUCCAGCAGCAGGUUCUGCUCCUGACACAAAGGUGGUCGUGACCACACUGGUGUUACAUCAGUGUUCCUGUGUGGACUGAGGAUUAAGACUUCAUGUUCUUCAUCUUGGUGACUAAUAUCUUGGCUUAUUCCAGAGGGUCGGUGAUUACAUGAAUCCCUAAGGAAUUUCAAAGUACUUGUGGCAAUUAUUGUCAGUGACAAGAUGUCCUAUUGAAGAUCACACUUUAUCCAUUCCUUAAUUUUAUCACUUAAGAAAAGACACAUAAAAGCACGUAUUUCCCUCCA
rnacentral:lncRNA from 1 species